UACGGGGGGGGCAAGCGUUGUUCGGAAUUACUGGGCGUAAAGAGCUCGUAGGCGGUCUGUCGCGUCGGCUGUGAAAACUCGGGGCUCAACUCCGAGCUUGCAGUCGAUGCGGGCAGGCUAGAGUUCGGCAGGGGAGGCUGGAAUUCCCAGUGUAGUGGUGAAAUACGUAGAGAUUGGGAAGAACACCAGUGGCGAAGGCGGCUAUCUGGACGGUUUCUGACGCUAAGACGCGAAAGCGUGGGGAGCAAACAGG
rnacentral:rRNA from 1 species